ACACAUACAUACACAUACAUACACAUACACACGCCCACACUAAAGCACACAGUCCCAUUAUUUUCCUCUCCAUCUCACUCUCGUAUCAAUAAUAUCCUUCAUUACAUCGAAGUUUGCUCUCUCUCUCUCUCUCUCUCUCUCUCUCUCUCUCGCGUGUUCAAAGGUCUGCCGGUUAAUCUUUCUUUAGUCCGUUGGUUGGUUUGUCAGGUGGAAGAGUGAGUGGGUUGUUUGAUCGUGGUCCCCUCUCGACUUCCUUCCGUCACUCAAUUCGGCGUUUGGUAAGUUGAUAGUUGCUUUCUUACUUUGUUUUCUUCUUCUGUUUAUCCCUUGUCACUCCGUCAACUCAUAGUCCCCUUCUUCCUUCUAUCCUCUCUUUCUCCACUCAGUUCGGCGUUUGGUAAGUUGAUAGUUGAUCCUUCCUUCGUUUCAUUCCUCUAUUCGCUUCUUUGGUCACUUAGCCAGGUCGAAGUAGUUGAGUUUUUGAGAGUUCUUCUGUUCGUAGCCGCCUCUUCCUUCCACCAGUCAGAAGUCAGUCGAAAUGGUUUGGUUUUCAUAGUUGCCUCUUCCCAUCAGUCAGUCUGUCAGUCAGUUGGUUGGGUUACGAGUUUCAUCAGUUCGACAGUCACCUCUUUCCUUUACCCUUUACCCAUGCAGUCAGUCGAAGUAUAGUUGGGUCUUCAAGAGUUCCAUCAGCUCGACAAUCGCCUUCAGUUCAGUUUCUCUUCAGGAGCGUCAGAGUGCUUCGUGAUGGCCGUGGUUCGAGUGCUCAUCCUCUCCGGCCGCCUCCGCCUCCUGCUCCUUCUCGUCCCUCUGAUCAUCGAAGUCCAGGCCAGUGAGGGUGAGUUGUCUUCGCGAGUUCGAGGUUUUUCUUUGCUUUGUUUUCCUUUGAGUGUUUCUUCGUUUGUCUUGGCGUUCGGCGUAUGCAAGAUCGAGGUUUUUCUUUUUGUUUAUUGUUUUCCUUUGUGUUUCUUCGUUUGUCUUGGUGUUCGGCGUAUGAAAGAUCGAGGUUUUUCUUUUUGUUUAUUGUUUUCCUUUGUGUUUCCUCGUUUGUCUUAGCGUUCGGCGUAUGCAAGAUCGAGGUUUUUCUUUUUGUUUAUUGUUUUCCUUUGUGUUUCCUCGUUUGUCUUAGCGUUCGGCGUAUGUAAGAUCGAGGUUUUUCUUUUUGUUUAUUGUUUUCCUUUGUGUUUCCUCGUUUGUCUUGGCGUUCGGCGUAUGUAAGAUCGAGGUUUUUCUUUUUGUUUAUUGUUUUCCUUUGUGUUUCCUCGUUUGUCUUGGCGUUCGGCGUAUGCAAGAUCGAGGUUUUUCUUUUUGUUUAUUGUUUUCCUUUGUGUUUCCUCGUUUGUCUUGGCGUUCGGCGUAUGCAAGAUCGAGGUUUUUCUUUUUGUUUAUUGUUUUCCUUUGUGUUUCUUCGUUUGUCUUGGCGUUCGGCGUAUGAAAGAUCGAGGUUUUUCUUUUUGUUUAUUGUUUUCCUGUGUGUUUCUUCGUUUGUCUUGGCGUUCGGCGUAUGUAAGAUUUCGAUUUUUAUCCAUUUCUCUUUGUCUUGUUUAUUUUUUUAUAGUUUGUCUUCACCCAAGCGAAUGCGACCGUUUUUUUUUUCUUUCCUCUGCGCAACUCUUUCCUUAGUCCUGCUUGUUUCGAAG